AAGAAUAAAUAGUCAAUGUCGAUGUCAACUUUCUUUUUUGUCAAAGGAAAUACAAAAUGCAAGAUAGAGCUUUUGUCGAUAUUUAGGGCUCAAAGGAUGGAUCCCAUGCUCUCAAGCUUACAAAACUUCCAAACUCUCGUAUAACCCUACCUUAAUAGCUUGCUUGUAGCUAUAUAAUCCACUAGCAUGUGUAGUCUACGAAAAAGACAAAACCAAAUUUUUUGAAAUUAUACUAGUCUAACGCAAGACCUUCAUAGCAUAAUUUAGUCUCAGAAGAAUAGUAGUUUAGAAUUUACCAGGAUAUUGUCGAAAACAUGCUCCAUUGUAGUUCAACAGAAAUGGUGCCACUGCCACUGUCUUAGCCAAGCAACACAAACAACUAUUACACUGCAUUAGUUAACAGAUUAAACAGAAGAGUUGGAGUCGAAUAAACAAUCGAGGUUUCCUGCAAGAAGAGACCAGCAACUUAAAGAUUGCGAUUGAUUAAAAAGGCACAUUGAAAAAAUUCAAAAAUGACUAUAGCCAGUUAAUGUAUCUAAACCAAGUCCCAUGUAAGGUUAAGGAAAGAUGGAUUCCAAAACCACAAACUUGUAUAUAACACAUCCAUGCAUCAAACUUUUCACAUGUAACAAACCUACAAUAAGAAAACACAAAAUCCCAACCCAUGAUAGGAGCCUAAUAGAUCAACAUAGCAUACAUAAACCUUAUUAUAAGAAGCUUAAGAAAAAUCAAUCAUAUAAAGUGCUUCUGAACUGUAUAAAUAUAUACAUACAUGCCUAUAAUAAGGUUUUCGUCAGCAAUUUUAAUCAAUAUUAAGACCACAAAAAGAAGAGGAAAACUGAGAAUUGAUAUGGAUCACCAAAUUAUACACAGAGCAACUGUAAGAACCUGAAAUGCCUCCAUAGUAUUAGUAUGCAACAAAUUAAAGAGAACUUACAGGAAUUCUGGAAUGCUUAGUAAUUUGUCCGUUAUGGGUCCAGAGAAGAGUUUAUUCACUACAUACUUAUGAAUCUAUAUUUUGUGAGAGAAAGAAACAUAUAAGUCUUGAAGAGGAAGAAUGUAAUGCCCCUAACCUAAACUAUGACUAGGCCGAGUGGAGGCUAACGCCAAAAGAUGAAUCGGAGCCAAAAGACCAUAAGGGAAUCGAAUGGAGCUAAGAAAAGACUUGUCCUAGAAAAGUUAGACAAAGCAUCGAGGAAGCUUGAAGGAAGAGAUAGUAAGAUCGUUAGGAUUAUAAGGAGAAACUCUUGUCGGAAACUCAGAAAGGCCAUCACUGAAAGGUAAGGUGGUUGGAUUUAUCAUACUUGGGCAAAGUUAAGGAUGGAUAUUGAGAAUAAAUGGUUUUUGGGCGAGGGAUAUAAAAGUUGGGCGAGAGAAAAUGAGUUUGGGACGAAGGAAUGCAUAAUUGGCCAAAACGGACGACCCGCGGACGAUGCUUAAUCGAUCCGCAGCGAGCGACGGACCAUCCGGUACGAUGCAUGUACGGCAUGCGGACGUGUGCUCGGCCUGUACGGACGUGUGCUUGGACCGUGAGGACGUGUGCAAGGACUGUGAGGACGUGUGCUCGGACCGUGAAGGAAGUUUGCUCGGACCGUGCAGACGUGUGCUCUGCUCCGUGUCCGUUCAAGGUAACGCCACACCUGCUGCCUGCGUGCCUGCUUCACCAGAAGCUGCUGGGUGUCGCCACCGGAAGCGGUGACUCAGCAACACAUGUCGCCGUCGGAGGCAAGAUCAGGGGCGAGGUGGUUGCGAAGCAGCUUAAAAACCGACUUAGUAACCCUAUAUAAACCCUCAUCGUUCAUUUGAAAUUCUCAACUAAAAAUAACAAACGACCUUAGUAGUGUUGAGAAGAAGUUCCGAGAAAAAUUCCGAGAAAAGUUCCGAUUCCGAAAGUUGAUAACUGCUUAAGAUGAGUGAGAUACCUAUGGAACCAAGGAGUAGUAGAAUGAGUCGUUUCCCGAGAAUGAGUGGAUCUCCGGUAAGUUCGGUACAUAUGUCGUAGCACAUGUUUAGGUGUUUAUUCAUUCAAUUUAAUUAUGAAAUUACUAAUAGAGGUUAAUGUAAUGAUACUUAGUGAUAUUUGUGAUUGUUUGACUUGUUGAGUUAUAAUGUUAAUGCAUGAUGUUCAUUUUUAA